rnacentral:rRNA from 1 species
GGCAUGCCUCAUACAUGCAAGUCGAACGCAGGCUUCGGCCUGCCCUGGCGCACGGGUGAGUAGCGCGUGGGAACCUACCCUUUCGUGGGGGAUAACCGAGGGAAACUUCGGCAGAUACCGCAUACGCCGGGUAACCGGGAAAGAUUUAUCGCGGAAGGAUGGGCCCGCGUCGGAUUAGCUAGUUGGUGGGGUUAUGGCCUACCAAGGCAAUGAUCCGUAGCUGGUCUGAGAGGAUGAUCAGCCACACUGGGACUGAGACACGGCCCAGACUCCUACGGGAGGCAGCAGUAGGGAAUAUUGGACAAUGGGCGAAAGCCUGAUCCAGCAAUGCCGCGUGAGUGAGGAAGGCCUUAGGGUUGUAAAGCUCUUUCGGCGGGGACGAUGAUGACGGUACCCGCAGAAGAAGCCCCGGCUAACUUCGUGCCAGCAGCCGCGGUAAUACGAAGGGGGCAAGCGUUGUUCGGAAUUACUGGGCGUAAAGGGCGCGUAGGCGGCCAUCUUUGUCAGGUGUGAAAGCCCCGGGCUCAACCUGGGAAUUGCACUUGGGACGGGGUGGCUUGAGUUCGGGAGAGGAGAGUGGAAUUCCCAGUGUAGAGGUGAAUUCGUAGAUAUUGGGAGAACACCGGUGGCGAAGCGCUCUCUGGACGAUACUGACGCUGA